UGGGGAAUUUUGGACAAUGGGCGAAAGCCUGAUCCAGCAAUGCCGCGUGUGUGAAGAAGGCCUUCGGGUUGUAAAGCACUUUUGUCCGGAAAGAAAUCCUUGGCUCUAAUACAGUCGGGGGAUGACGGUACCGGAAGAAUAAGCACCGGCUAACUACGUGCCAGCAGCCGCGGUAAUACGUAGGGUGCAAGCGUUAAUCGGAAUUACUGGGCGUAAAGCGUGCGCAGGCGGUUUGCUAAGACCGAUGUGAAAUCCCCGGGCUCAACCUGGGAACUGCAUUGGUGACUGGCAGGCUAGAGUAUGGCAGAGGGGGGUAGAAUUCCACGUGUAGCAGUGAAAUGCGUAGAGAUGUGGAGGAAUACCGAUGGCGAAGGCAGCCCCCUGGGCCAAUACUGACGCUCAUGCACGAAAGCGUGGGGGAGCAAACAGGAUUAGAUACCCUGGUAGUCCACGCCCCUAAAACGAUGUCAAACUAGUUUGUUGGGGGAUUCAUUUCCUUAGUAACGUAGCUAACGCGUGAAGUUGACCGCCUGGGGAGUACGGUCGCAAGAUU
rnacentral:rRNA from 1 species